rnacentral:rRNA from 1 species
UAAGAAUAAGCACCGGAUAAGUGCGUGCCAGCAGCCGCGGUAAUACGUAGGGUGCAAGCUUUAAUAAAAAUUAGGGGGUGUAAAGCGUGCGCAGGCGGUGAUAUAAGACAGGUGAGAAAUCCCGGGGCUUAACCUGAGAAAUGCAUUUGUGACUUCAUUUUUGGUGUGCGGCAGAGGGGGAUGGAAUUCCGCGUGUAGCAGUAAAAUGCGUAGAUAUGCGGAAGAACCCCCAUGGAGAAGGCAAUCCCCUGGGCUUUCUCAGACGNUCGUGGAGGGAA